rnacentral:lncRNA from 1 species
GCUUUGGGUAGUGCAAUCAAAAUUAUUAAUUCUAAGAUAUGUAAUCAUGUAACAUUUCUUUUAUGAAAAAAGUGUGAAUCAAGUUAAAACUGUGCAUGGACUAUACAAAGAUAUGGUCUGUAAUACAUACAUAGCACCAAACACAAUCUUUUAAGUGGAAUGGAAGUAUUAUUUUAAACCUAAGAGUUUUAAGCCUUUUUAUUAUUAUUUUAAGGCUUUUCAGUGAACUUCACUUAAUAUUCUUUCACUUUGGUUAUAGUCAGAAGCGUAGCAGACAGGAGACAUCAAGAAUAGUGUGUCCCCCCUCACCCUUCUCUUAACUUGUCAUCCAGGCUGCAGGAUUAGAUGCUUAAAUGAAGCAACUUUGUUAGUUACCCUGUUGCCCUUGUUUUCUUUUUCUUUUUCUUGUGGUAGAGGUUUCCAAUUUCAUAAAUGCCAUGCUCCAGCCUCAGGAACACAUCACUGCUCAGGAGAUCAACAGCCACUUCUGUCAAGAGCUGAUCUACAAGUGGAAUGAGAGAAUGGAGGAGCAAGGGAAGGCACUUUCGGAGGAGUUCCCUGACAAGGGCUUUUUCUUUGUUUUCCGAGCUGGCAGCCUCUGAUUAGAUACUCUGGGAUCUGCCGCCUCUGUGGGGGGAAUGUUGAGGCAAAGCCCCUACUCAGGACCUGUGUUGACAUCAGUAGUGACUCACUUCAGUUGCAGAGUAGCUCCAGCUGGUGCUGGGAAUCCAAUGUGGUGGAAAUGUUGCUGGAGGGCCCAGUGUAUGUGACAUUAUUCAUUGCUUUCCCUCCACACAGGGGCUUAGUGACAUAUGAGUCAGUUGGGAAGGCAUCUCUCUGUCCUGAACUCAGCACUCAAUCCCAGCUUCUUUCUGAUACCUUUUGUUUUUUAAACUGUCACUAAUGUUUGUUUAUCUUCAUUCCCCUUCCUGUGAGCCUCCCAAUGUUAGGUUGACACAUAAGCCAUUGAUAAAUAUUAAUAUACACAUGGAGGGGGGGAAAUUAUUUCCUUUUCUGGGCUUUUUGAAAUAAUUUCUAUCCUGCUUUUGAGUGAUUUUUAACCCAUAAUUCUUUGGAGCCUGAGAAAUGAAGGACAGAAAAGCCAGAGGCUGGGCAGUGUGCAGAAGGACUAGGUUUUGUCCUUUCAGAUCCUUCCACUGUUUUUGUGUGUCAGUCAGCUUCCCAUUGCUGUAACAAAUGCCUGAGACAAAUCAAAAGAAUUAUUUGAUUCACAAUUUCAAAGGUUUCGGUCCAUGAUUACUUGGCUUACUUGCUUUUAGGCCUGUGGUGAGACAGUAUAUCAUGUAUGGCAGACAUACGUGGUGGAGGAAACUGCUCACCUCAUGACAGCUGGUAGGAAAAUAGAAAGAGGAAGAGUGUAGGGUCCCAGUAUUUCCCCUAAUGAAAACCCCAAUGACCUAACUUCCGUUUACUGGGCCCCACCUCUUAAAGAGUCCAACCUCCUCUCAGUGGUGUCACCUACUGGGGACAACACAUAAGCCUUUGGGGCACAUUUAAGAUCCAAACCAUAACUCUUCAUUAAUUUGGACAAGUCACCUUUCUCAGUUUCUUUACCAGCAAAAUGUGAGUUUAGAGAUUAACACUUGCAGAAUAACAGAGUAAAGGCUGCUCCAAACAUGCUCCUCCAUAAAAGGCAAUAAGAACACUAGGAAAAAAUGGUCAAUAUCAACUUUUACAGAGCUCUAGAAAUUAAAUAAAGGCUUGAAACAGCCCAGGGUAUGUUUACUUAAGAAAACUAGAGAUUAGUGGCAUUUAACUUGCUCUAUUUUAUCCUCUUUGUCCCAGCUUCUUCCUAGCUUUGUCUUGAAAAUCCACAACCUUUAAACUCAGAAGCCAUAACAACUGGUUGCUUAAUAAUUACUGGAGGGGAGAUAAUGGGUUUGGAGUUUCCCUGAGGCUCCAUCCUUGAAGAAUCAUUAUUAUUUAAUUUAUCUCAUAGUUCCCUAAAAGUUUCAUUCCAAGCUUAUGUUCAUUUGACCUGACUCAAAGCUCUUUCUCUACAUAGCCAUAUUCUUAGGGGGUUUGUUGAAAAUAGUCAGUGGUAGUGGCAGUAGUCAUAGCUGCCCAUGACAGCAAUAAUUGGGGCUUACAACAGACUGACCUCCCCCCCCGCAAAGAAAAAGCAAAAUGGAUAUGAGAUGUACCAUAUGGGAUUUUGAAAAGUUCUCACAUAUUAUUGGGAAUCUCAAGGGCCAAGUGUAAGAGAAAGGCUAUGUACAUGCCCAGGAAAGACCUCAGAAGGUCCUAAUCUCUCACGUCUGUCUGCACAGAAGAAAAACUAAGGCAGGGUUGUAAACUGCCUGCUGGAGCAUUGAAGGCAUGCUCCAAACUCAUAUAGCCUCUCUUUGAAGAGGCUGGGAGACUUACUGGUUGAAUAUGUUUAAGGAAAUCUCUGAACAGUCAUUAGCUGACCACUAAACUAACUGACUAGAGACUCCAGUGGCCACACCUAUCAAAGAAUCCUGACUUUACAGAAAGUCCUAAGUGACUAAACAAACAAACAAACAAAUGGCAAAAUAAAAAUAACAACAGCAGAUAAACAAUGAUGUACCCUGGGAAGAAGGGUUGGCUUCAUCUAAGUUCCCAGAUUUGUGGAUCUAAAGUUGUUCAUCAUAUUCUUUUAUUAUCCUUUUACUAUUCCUGGGAUCAGUAGUGAUGAUUCCUCUUUUACUUCCAAUAUUAGCAAUUUGUGUCUUCUCUCUUCCCCUUGUUAGCCUGACUAGAGGUUUAUUAAUUAUAUUGAUCUUUUCAAAGAACCAGUUUUUGGUUUUGUUGACUUUCUGUAUUGAUUUCAUGGUUUUAUUUUCAUGAUUACUGCUUUAAUUUUUCUUAUUUCCUUUCUGCUUGAUUUAUCCUUAAAUUACUCUUCUUUCUGUAGUUUUUGAAGGUGAAACUAGAGUUUUGAGAUGAAUCUUGAUCCACUGCUUCUGCUGCCAGGUGGGGUCUGCACAAGCUGUAGGCCCCUGCGGCCUAGAAGUGUUGCAGUUCUUAAUGGUGGGCCAUGCCCUCCAAUGUUGCAGCAGACCCCAGCAGUUCAUCAUCUAUUUCUUCUUCUUUCAGGGUUCUUGUCUCGUGAAUUUGAAGAAUGAAUGCCACUGAUCAGGACGAGUGAGUGUAAUGUAGGAACAGCACUCUUGCAGUGCAAGGGGGGACCCAAUAGCAGGUGUUCUCUACUGGAGUGUGCUAGUGUAGGGGUUUGUAUAGCACUUGAUUCAGUGCUAUUAGUCCAAACUUAUGCUAAUUAGGACUUGGAAACAUAGUAACACUAUUGGUCAAUUUUUUUUUUAAAUAUUUAUUUUUUAGUUUUCGGUGGACACAACAUCUUUGUUUGUAUGUGGUGCUGAGGAUCGAACCCGGGCCGCACGCAUGCCAGGCGAGCGCACUACCGCCUGAGCCAUAUCCUCAGCCCACUAUUGGUCAUUUUUUGAGUCCCAACUUCCAUUCAAGUUUGC